UACGUAGGGGCCGAGCGUUGUCCGGAAUUAUUGGGCGUAAAGAGCUCGUAGGCGGUCUGUCGCGUCGGCUGUGAAAACCCGGGGCUCAACCCCGGGCCUGCAGUCGAUACGGGCAGACUAGAGUGCGGUAGGGGAGACUGGAAUUCCUGGUGUAGCGGUGAAAUGCGCAGAUAUCAGGAGGAACACCGGUGGCGAAGGCGGGUCUCUGGGCCGUAACUGACGCUGAGGAGCGAAAGCGUGGGGAGCGAACAGG
rnacentral:rRNA from 1 species